CUGGGAUAUCCUCGGCCAAGAAGAAUUGUGACAACCCCCAACCAGAAUUUAUCCUGUUUGAUGUGCAACAGCUUCAACGUCCCACAGUGAGAAGACCAGAUGUCCCUCUCAUCCCUCUAACAUUCAGUGUGAGGCUGCCUUUGCUCCAGAGACUGUUGAGUCUUUUCUACAAGAACUCCAGAGCUCGCUGAAUGAUGCUGCAGGUCAACCACUAGUGCCAAAAGUUCCUCUGACUUCCACUAACUGGAGCACAAGRAAAAGCAUAUUUUCAGAGAGUUGGAAAGCAGAAAGACCCCGCCUGGUUAACACCAUAGCAGCUCAGCACAGUGUGUCAGCCCCUUUUUGCCAACAAUGUGGAAAAAAUCCAUCUGCACUUCGGUGUCGUGAUUGCCUACCACACCCCUUCUUUUGUGAAAAAUGUGAUGUGAUGAUGCACACCAGACAUGUCUUCCACAACAGAGAAACCAUCAUAGCUGGGUUCUUCCAGCCAUUACCUCCAACUACCUAUGUUUUAAAUACAACUCUUUGCAAUGAUGGUAAG